AUGCAAGUCGAACGGCAGCACGGGAGCAAUCCUGGUGGCGAGUGGCGAACGGGUGAGUAAUAUAUCGGAACGUGCCCAGUCGUGGGGGAUAACGUAGCGAAAGCUACGCUAAUACCGCAUACGAUCUAUGGAUGAGAGCGGGGGAUCGCAAGACCUCGCGCGAUUGGAGCGGCCGAUAUCAGAUUAGGUAGUUGGUGAGGUAAAGGCUCACCAAGCCGACGAUCUGUAGCUGGUCUGAGAGGACGACCAGCCACACUGGGACUGAGACACGGCCCAGACUCCUACGGGAGGCAGCAGUGGGGAAUUUUGGACAAUGGGCGCAAGCCUGAUCCAGCAAUGCCGCGUGCAGGAUGAAGGCCUUCGGGUUGUAAACUGCUUUUGUACGGAACGAAACGGUGAGCUCUAAUACAGUUUGCUAAUGACGGUACCGUAAGAAUAAGCACCGGCUAACUACGUG
rnacentral:rRNA from 1 species